rnacentral:rRNA from 1 species
CACGUAGGGGACGAGCGUUGUCCGGAUUCAUUGGGCGUAAAGAGCUCGUAGGCGGCUUGGCAAGUCGGAUGUGAAAACUCCAGGCUCAACCUGAGCCGCCAUUCGAUACUGCUAUGGCUAGAGUCCGGUAGGGGAGUGUGGAAUUCCCGGUGUAGCGGUGAAAUGCGCAGAUAUCGGGAGGAACACCGAUGGCGAAGGCAGCACUCUGGGCCGGUACUGACGCUGAGGAGCGAAAGCGUGGGGAGCGAACAGG